CCGCAUAAUCCGACUGAUUUUUGGAUUGGUCGGCAAAGGUGGCCUCUUGAUCAACGCUACCGGGUGGAGAUGAGUCCGCGUCCCAUUAGCUUGUUGGUAGGGUAACGGCCUACCAAGGCGACGAUGGGUAGCUGGUCUGAGAGGACGAUCAGCCACACUGGAACUGGUACACGGUCCAGACUCCUACGGGAGGCAGCAGUGAGGAAUAUUGCGCAAUGGGGGAAACCCUGACGCAGCGAUGCCGCGUGGGUGAAGAAGGCCUUCGGGUCGUAAAGCCCUGUCAAGUGGGAAGAACAGCAGCGGGACGAAUAAUCCCGUUGUGUGACGGUACCACUGAAGGAAGCACCGGCUAACUUYCGUGCCAGCAGCCCGCGGUAAGACGGAGGGUGCCAAGCGUUUAUUCGGAAUUUAUUUGGGGCCGUAAAAGAAGCGUGUUAAGGCC
rnacentral:rRNA from 1 species